UACGUAGGGGGCAAGCGUUGUCCGGAUUUAUUGGGCGUAAAGAGCGUGUAGGCGGCCAGACAGGUCCGUUGGGAAAACUCGAGGCUCAACCUCGAGACGCCGAUGGAAACCGUUUGGCUAGAGUCCGGAAGAGGAGAGUGGAAUUCCCGGUGUAGCGGUGAAAUGCGCAGAUAUCGGGAAGAACACCCGUGGCUAAGGCGGCUCUCUAGUACGGUACUGACGCUGAGACGCGAAAGCGUGGGGAGCGAACAGG
rnacentral:rRNA from 1 species